rnacentral:sRNA from 1 species
AGUCAAGUGUAAUGGGGGCAGUGGGAGCAGGGAGAGGACCUAGUCUCUGGCGCCGGAGAGAAGGAAGACAGGAGCGUGAGGCAUGAUGACCUGAAGGAGAUGCUGGACACCAACAAGGAUUCUCUCAAGCUGGAGGCCAUGAAGAGGAUUGUGGCGAUGAUUGCCCGAGGAAAGAAUGCUUCAGACCUGUUUCCCGCGGUGGUGAAGAACGUGGCCUGUAAGAACAUAGAGGUGAAGAAGCUUGUCUACGUGUACCUGGUACGCUACGCUGAGGAGCAGCAAGACCUGGCCCUGCUGUCCAUCUCCACCUUCCAACGUGGCCUAAAGGCUGGGUGUGGUGGCUCAUGCCUGUAAUCCCAGCACUUUGGGAGGCCGAAGCAGGCAAAUCACAAGGUCAGGAGUUCAAGACCAGCCUGGCCAACAUGGUGAAACCCCAUCUCUACUAAAAAUACAAAAAAUUAGCUGGGCAUGGUGGCGGGUGCCCAUAAUCCCAGCUACUCAGGAGGCUGAGGCAGGAGAAUGGCUUGAACCC